CCUACGGGAGGCUGCAGUGGGGAAUAUUGCACAAUGGGCGCAAGCCUGAUGCAGCCAUGCCGCGUGUGUGAAGAAGGCCUUCGGGUUGUAAAGCACUUUCAGCGGGGAGGAAGGCGUUAAGGUUAAUAACCUUGGCGAUUGACGUUACCCGCAGAAGAAGCACCGGCUAACUCCGUGCCAGCAGCCGCGGUAAUACGGAGGGUGCAAGCGUUAAUCGGAAUUACUGGGCGUAAAGCGCACGCAGGCGGUCUGUCAAGACGGAUGUGAAAUCCCCGGGCUCAACCUGGGAACUGCAUUCGAAACUGGCAGGCUAGAGUCUUGUAGAGGGGGGUAGAAUUCCAGGUGUAGCGGUGAAAUGCGUAGAGAUCUGGGGGAAUACCGGUGGCGAAGGCGGCCCCCUGGACAAAGACUGACGCUCAGGUGCGAAAGCGUGGGGAGCAAACAGGAUUAGAUACCCGAGUAGUC
rnacentral:rRNA from 1 species